UCUCAAACAGACGUAAUCUGUGGAUCGGAGAGGCAGGCGCACAGUCGGUGGAGAGUUGGACUCGGACGGAAGUGAUGAGAAUGAAAAUACCCACUGUAGCAGGCUUGAAGAAAACGCAUCAGUCCACCUCGACCGGAGUCUGAAUCCUGCAGUUUAACCUGCAGCCAGGGAAGGGAAAUUGCGUGUUCACAAUGCGCCUCUUGAAUCUGUGACUCCAUGAAGAUUAUUUCCAUCAGAUCCUGUUAUGGACGAUUUUGAAGUGAAGAUGAAUGAAGUUCCUCUGAUUAAUGAGGCGGUGGUAAAGCAAUAAAGCAGAUCCUCUCAGUUUGUGGACCAGCUUCAGGACACAUCAUGAUCAUGUACAACAUAAGCAGAAGCAUGUUUGCCCUGUGGACAGUGGACUCAUUCUGCCACUGUCCUGUUUCAUUAUGUCCCUUUGCUGUGUGUCCUGACCUCUGGGCUUUGAGUGACGUACUCGGCUCCUUCCCUGUCCCUCUGUCCUCCUUCCUCCACAUCCGGCCUCGUCUUGUCACCUUGGCUCACACUCUGAGUCCUGCUUGCCUCGGUGAACAUUCAACGCUGUCGGUGAGUUUUGAUAUGGAUCACAUAAAAACCAUCGACCGUUGACUGUGCCCCGAGGCUUGCUCUGACGACGUUUGCAAUGAGCAAAAAAAUGAACAAAAGGGCAAGUGGGCACAUGCAAAAUCUAGAUACGAAGCCACACAGACAUGCACAGACAAAAGUAACACUCUGUUUCCACUGUACCCAAAGACCAAAGGUCACAAUCAACAUUCAUUGCUGUCGCUGGGUUGGACUGUGUAGAAAGCUCACUGAACAAUGAGUGCAACUGUGGCCCAGAUCUGCCUGACUCGCAUCUCAGCCAAUCAGCAGACCGGAUGUGAAACACUGAUUUCUUUAUUUAUAUACUUCUUGUUUUUCACUUCUAUUUUAUCCUCUCUUCCUCCCUCCCCGGUGCUGGAUAGUGUUCAGUGGAAGAGAGAAAAAGAAAAAGAGAGAUGGACACAAAUAGACUUCUGGCGGCUUGCUUGUCCUCAUCCUCCUCUCCUCUCCUCUAAUUGGUGGUUAUGUGUGCAGCAAGGGGGAAGGAAGUGGAGUGAAUGUGUAAUCAUUUGGAGUCUCUUCUUCUUUAGAUGUUUCAUCCCUCUCUUUUUUGUUUGUCUAAUUAUACACCGAGCUCAGUUAACUCUGUGUUAACUCUGCCAGCAAGAACGAGCGAGAGACAAAGAGAGGAAGGACAAGGGCAAACAAAAAAUAGUGGAAAGAUUAUAGCACAUGAAAAUAAUUAUCUAGUUUUUAGUUUAUUCAUUCUCAUAUGCUUCCUGGUCUUACUUCAGAUGGGCCAGGAUAUAAGCAAUUUUCAAAGGCAGAUAGUUCUCACCUCUCUGAGGAUGUCUCAUUAUCUGUGUUUGAGCUUUGUGUGUGUGUGUGUGUGUGUGCCAUGAUAAAAGACCUGUCUGCUCAUCCCAGAGUGCAAUAUGUUAUUUUAUUUUCAUACUAAAGCAGACUGCUCUCUCGUGGGAAAAUACACAAGUCUAUAACCUUGUCUUCCUGCAGAUAGUGUGACCGGACACACUGCUGCCAUUUCUCUUUUGCCCUCUACAACAACUGUCUGACGCUGUGCACUGUAUCUGUAUUUCAUAUAUUGUAAACAUAGUUGAGAUAUAUCAAGGAAUGUGUUGAAGAAAGCAUGUCUGAUUCUUUAAUUAAUCCAAUAAAGUUAAAUCAAUAUCCAUGUAA